rnacentral:rRNA from 1 species
AUUGAACGCUGGCGGAAGGCCUAACACAUGCAAGUCGAACGAGUGGCGGACGGGUGAGUAAUGUCUGGGAAACUGCCUGAUGGAGGGGGAUAACUACUGGAAACGGUAGCUAAUACCGCAUACCAUCGGAUGUGCCCAGAUGGGAUUAGCUAGUAGGUGGGGUAAAGGGUCACCUAGGCGACGAUCCCUAGCUGGUCUGAGAGGAUGACCAGCCACACUGGAACUGAGACAGGGUCCAGACUCAUACGAGACGCAUCAGUGGGAAAUAUUGGACAUUGGGCACAAGCCUGGUGCAGCUAUGCCGCGUGUAUGAGGAGGGCAUUCGGGUUAUAAAAUACUUUCAGCGGGGAGGCGUUACCCGCAGAAGAAGCACCGGCUAACUCCGUGCCAGCAUCCGCGGUAAUUC